GACGAACGCUGGCGGCGUGCUUAACACAUGCAAGUCGUACGGUAAGGCCCUUUCGGGGGUACACGAGUGGCGAACGGGUGCGUAACACGUGCGUAACCUGCCCACAACUUUGGGAUAACGCUAGGAAACUGGUGCUAAUACUGGAUAUGUGCUCCUGCUGCAUGGUGGGGGUUGGAAAGCUCCGGCGGUUGUGGAUGGACUCGCGGCCUAUCAGCUUGUUGGUGGGGUAGUGGCCUACCAAGGCGGCGACGGGUAGCCGGCCUGAGAGGGUGACCGGCCACAUUGGGACUGAGAUACGGCCCAGACUCCUACGGGAGGCAGCAGUGGGGAAGAUUGCACAAUGGGCGCAAGCCUGAUGCAGCAACGCCGCGUGCGGGAUGACGGCCUUCGGGUUGUAAACCGCUUUCAGCAGGGACGAAGCUUUUUGUGACGGUACCUGCAGAAGAAGCACCGGCUAACUACGUG
rnacentral:rRNA from 1 species